UACGUAGGGGGCUAGCGUUGUCCGGAAUCAUUGGGCGUAAAGCGCGUGUAGGUGGCCAUGUAGGUCCGCUGUGAAAACUCGAGGCUCAACCUCGAGCUGUCGGUGGAAACCACAUGGCUAGAGUCCGGAAGAGGAGAGUGGAAUUCCUGGUGUAGCGGUGAAAUGCGCAGAUAUCAGGAAGAACACCAAUGGCGAAGGCAGCUCUCUGGGACGGUACUGACACUGAGACGCGAAAGCGUGGGGAGCGAACAGG
rnacentral:rRNA from 1 species